CCGAGUCACGUACUCAAAACAACCCUUCUGUGGACCUGAAUCAAACCGUUGCCUCGGCGGGCGGUCCCCUGCCAAACCCACGUGGCGGGCAGGGGACCAGACAGCCGGCACGCUUAAGGCGUCGGCGCCAGCCGCUGGCCCCAAACAUUAAACUCUAGUAACCUUUACCUUCUGAGUUUUAAUAUUAAAAAAUAAGUCA
rnacentral:misc_RNA from 1 species